CCUACGGGCGGCCGCAGUGGGGGAUAUUGCACAAUGGGGGGAACCCUGAUGCAGCGACGCCGCGUGGGUGAAGGAGCGUUUCGGCGCGUAAAGCCCUAUCGGCAGGGAAGAAGAUGACGGUACCUGUCCAAGAAUCCCCGGCUAACUACGUGCCAGAAGCCGCGGUAAUACGUAGGGGGCCAGCGUUAUCAGGAUUUACUGGGUGUAAAGGGGGCGCAGACGGCAAUGCAAGCCAGGUGUGAAAGCCCGGGGCCCGACCCCGGGAAUGCACUUGGAACUGGAUGGCUGGAGUACAGGCGGGGCAGGCGGAAUUGCUAGUGUAGCGGUGAAAUGCGUAGAUAUUAGGAGGAACACCGGUGGCGAAGGCGGCCUGCUGGACUGUGACUGACGUUGAGGCCCGAAGGCGUGGGGAGCAAACAGGAUUAGAUACCCCAGUAGUC
rnacentral:rRNA from 1 species